rnacentral:rRNA from 1 species
GAUGAACGCUGGCGGCGUGCCUAAUACAUGCAAGUCGAGCGAAUGAAGAGGAGCUUGCUCCUCUGAUUUAGCGGCGGACGGGUGAGUAACACGUGGGUAAUCUGCCUGUAAGACGGGGAUAACUCCGGGAAACCGGGGCUAAUACCGGAUAAUAAAAAGAAACGCAUGUUUCUUUUUUGAAAGUUGGUUUCGGCUAACACUUACAGAUGAGCCCGCGGCGCAUUAGCUAGUUGGUGAGGUAACGGCUCACCAAGGCGACGAUGCGUAGCCGACCUGAGAGGGUGAUCGGCCACACUGGGACUGAGACACGGCCCAGACUCCUACGGGGGGCAGCAGUAGGGAAUCUUCGGCAAUGGGCGAAAGCCUGACCGAGCAACGCCGCGUGAGCGAUGAAGGCCUUCGGGUCGUAAAGCUCUGUUGUUAGGGAAGAACACGUACGAGAGUAACUGCUCGUACCUUGACGGUACCUAACCAGAAGGCCACGGCUAACUACGUGCCAGCCGCCGCCGUAA